GGCGUAAGGGCUCGCAGGCGGUUUCUUAAGUCUGAUGUGAAAGCCCCCGGCUCAACCGGGGAGGGGCAUUGGAAACUGGGGAACUUGAGUGCAGAAGAGGAUAGUGGAAUUCCACGUGUAGCGGUGAAAUGCGUAGAGAUGUGGAGGAACACCAGUGGCGAAGGCGACUCUCUGGUCUGUUACUGACGCUGAGGAGCGAAAGCGUGGGGAGCGAACAGGAUUAGAUACCCUGGUAGUCCACGCCGUAAACGAUGACUGCUAACCGUUGGGGGGUUUGAGACCCUUAUGGCUGCACUUAAGCCUUUAAUUGAUCGCCCGGGGAAGUCCGGCCCCAGGACUGAACUCCAAUGAAUUUGACGGGGGCCCCCCCAACCGUGGAACCUGGGGUUUUAUUUCAAACCACCCCAAAAACCCUAACAAGGCCUGGCCUGCCGAGGACUUUCCUAAAAUGGAUUGGUGCCCUCCGGAACUCUAACGCCGGGGGUGGCUGGGUGGCCUCCGCUCCUGGCCUGGGAAGGUGGGUUAAGUCCCGUAACGAGCGCCACCCUUGGCCCUAAUUACCAGCACGUUAUGGUGGGCACUCUAAGGAGACUGCCGGUGACAAACCGGAGGAAGGUGGGGAUGACGUCAAGUC
rnacentral:rRNA from 2 species